AUUGAACGCUGGCGGCGUGCUUAACACAUGCAAGUCGAACGUGAAAGUCCUUCGGGAUGAGUAAAGUGGCGCACGGGUGAGUAACGCGUGGAUGAUCUACCGUAAAGAUGGGGAUAACGGCUGGAAACGGUCGCUAAUACCGAAUACGCUUCAUAUAACCAUGAGGGAAAAGGGGGCCUCUGUAUAUGCUCUUGAUCGAAGAUCAGCUUGCGUACCAUUAGCUAGUUGGUAGGGUAAGAGCCUACCAAGGCGACGAUGGUUAGCUGGUCUGAGAGGAUGAUCAGCCACACUGGAACUGAGACACGGUCCAGACUCCUACGGGAGGCAGCAGUGGGGAAUUUUGCGCAAUGGGGGCAACCCUGACGCAGCAACGCCGCGUGAGUGAUGAAGGCUUUCGGGUCGUAAAGCUCUGUCUAGAGGGAAGAAGUGAUAAGUGGUUAAUACCCAUUUAUUUUGACGGUACCUCUGAAGGAAGCACCGGCUAACUCCGUGCCAGCCGCCGCCGUAA
rnacentral:rRNA from 1 species